GAAACUCCUUGGAGGGACUGGGGAAAACCGGAGGAAGUUGCUUCUUGCUCAGACUGUGUUCUCCAGUUAACUGACAUGUUAACACACUUCUGUUGGGCAAAUUUGAAGUAACCUUUUGCAGAUGACUCAUCCUAUUACGAGUUUUACCUCGGGGAGGCCCAGCGCAUGACAUACUUUUAAACAUUUUCCUCAUCUUUCAUAACCAGCUGGAUCAAGAGUAGAUCUCUCUGAGCGGCCAUGGACUCAUCAAGGAGACCCUGCAGUGUUUUGAUGCCAGGCAUAUCGGAGCUGGUUUAAUCUCGUUAGGACAGUCAUCUCUAGACACCUGGUGUGCUGAUAUUUGGGCCACAACAAAAGGAAGAAUAAUAAUCAAUGAAGGUUUGUCUGAGAGACUGCCGUCGGAUUCAGUACAUUCAGUUCCAGUAAACUCCCAUCUCCCCUUGUCGUUAAGAGACGUCCCAGUCAUAAUCACCUUCAUACCAUGGCGUAUCACUGGGGCAGCUGAAAGUUUUGUAGGAAAGGGGGUAGAUUUUUUCUCAAAAUAGUUUCAGUGGUUUUCCACCCCUCAUGUCAUGGUCAAAGGGGUGCUAGGUAUUAAUGCAAGAAAUCUGGGCUGAAACAAACAAGGAGUAGAAGGAUAAGGCAGGAAAAAGAUUAACUACACUGGAAAAGGAUAGAUACUUAAUGUCUAAAGCAGAGAUAGUUUAAUGCAAAUGAGUCUUAUGGAUCUCAGAGAGACCCACAGGGCCAGAAAUUUUGCCCCAACACACUCAUCACAGAGUUCUAAGAGACUGGAUUAUUUGGUUGUGAUGAUUUUGUUGGUAUAUGAAAUAUUGCUUACAAAAAAUCAUAAACAUUGUCU
rnacentral:lncRNA from 1 species